UUCAUUGAAAUGAAGUUUGGCUGGA
rnacentral:miRNA from 1 species